rnacentral:rRNA from 1 species
UACGUAGGGUGCAAGCGUUGUCCGGAAUUAUUGGGCGUAAAGAGCUCGUAGGCGGUUUGUCGCGUCGGCUGUGAAAACCUGGGGCUCAACCCCGGGCCUGCAGCCGAUACGGGCAAACUAGAAUUCGGUAGGGGAGACUGGGAUUCCUGGUGUAGCGGUGAAAUGCGCAGAUAUCAGGAGGAACACCCGUGGCUAAGGCGGCUCUCUAGUACGGUACUGACGCUGAGACGCGAAAGCGUGGGGAGCGAACAGG